CGGGGCGUGGCGCAGCUGGUAGCGCACCUGCUUUGGGAGCAGGGGGUCGCACGUUCGAAUCGUGUCGCCCCGA
rnacentral:tRNA from 2 species